CCCAAAGCCUCAAUAAAAGCACAGAUGUUUUCCCUAACCAGAUUAACUCUUACGCACCAGUAUAAAGUGUGAACGUGCACAUAUUGUCUUUUAACUAGGUCACCUUUACAUCUGUAGGUCCUGUUUUUUAAGGCUCAUGAAUUCCAGCAGAACUGCACCAAAAGUAAAAACACAAGCCAUUGUGGAGUUUCCGACCCCGCGUUAGUUCAGGAGACUGAUUCCAAAUACGUCCGUUCUAUGCUCGCGUCGUCUGGAAAAUUGCUGGCCCUCACUCUGCAGGAGUGAAGUUCAGAUGGAACCGGCUGCAGCCACGACUCACUUUUUCCGACGACUUCGGUGGAGCGUGGCAGCUCUCUAGUUCGGCUUCCUGGUCCGUGUUCUGGGGCUUUAUUUGCGAGUUCAGAGAUGUUCUGGGGGGCAGCGAGCUCGGCUGGACUCUGUCUCCACAGUUUCCUGCUGUUGGGAGUCUGUUUUCCAGCGGGGGCUGCAGAGGCUCCUCCUCUUCUUACACCUGAAGAUCAGUCCGGGGAAUCUGGCCUCGAGGAUUUGGAAUGGGGCUCUGGCUCAUCUUUCCUCCACCUCCUCCACAGCUUCCCAGCUGACAGCCCCUUCAGAACGGAGACCCCGGGAGAACCCGUCAACUGCAGCCAGCAGUUCUGGCUGCCGCCGUCCUCCGACAUCUGCUGGGAGGACAUAGCCGGGCCCGAGGAGUUCGCCAAGUCUCGCCUCCUCGUGUUGCAGAACAGGGCUGCGCUGCAGGCUGUGUCUGCCUCCAGCGGUGUGGAGGAUGGAGCGGUCCCUUAUGAACAUCAGGCUAGAGAGGAGGUGCAGGGGAUCCAGUCGGACCACCAGGGAGCAGUGGAGACAAUAGAAACCAUGGAGAAGGUUUUCGUGUCUCUGGAGGAGAAGAGGAAACAAGGGAAGGAGGAGGGGCUCCUGACAAGCAUGAAGGAGAACCUCUUCAGCACGCGGAGUGAUAUGGACAGGAGAGAGCACAUGGCGAACAUCCUGGAGAACCAUUUUACAGUUUUGGAGAACACUUUGGUCAACAUGCAGCUUCGGCUCUCCAGGUUGAUCCAUCAGUGA
rnacentral:lncRNA from 1 species